rnacentral:rRNA from 1 species
CCUACGGGAGGCAGCAGUCGAGAAUCAUUCACAAUGGGGGAAACCCUGAUGGUGCGACGCCGCGUGGGGGAAUGAAGGUCUUCGGAUUGUAAACCCCUGUCAUGUGGGAGCAAAUUAAAAAGAUAGUACCACAAGAGGAAGAGACGGCUAACUCUGUGCCAGCAGCCGCGGUAAUACAGAGGUCUCAAGCGUUGUUCGGAAUCACUGGGCGUAAGGCGUGCGUAGGCUGUUUCGUAAGUCGUGUGUGAAAGGCGCGGGCUCAACCCGCGGACGGCACAUGAUCCUGCGAGACUAGAGUAAUGGAGGGGGAACCGGAAUUCUCGGUGUAGCAGUGAAAUGCGUAGAUAUCGAGAGGAACACUCGUGGCGAAGGCGGGUUCCUGGACAUUAACUGACGCUGAGGCACGAAGGCCAGGGGAGCGAAAGGGAUUAGAUACCCGAGUAGUC